rnacentral:rRNA from 1 species
UACGAAGGUCCCAAGCGUUGUUCGGAAUCACUGGGCGUAAAGGGAGCGUAGGCUGCGUGGUAAGUCAGAUGUGAAAUCCCGGGGCUCAACCCCGGAACUGCAUCCGAUACUGCCAUGCUUGAGGGUUGGAGAGGUAGCUGGAAUUCUCGGUGUAGCAGUGAAAUGCGUGGAUAUCGAGAGGAACACUCGUGGCGAAGGCGAGCUACUGGACAACAUCUGACGCUGGAGGCUCGA